CGGACCCAAUCCCUACGGCAGCGCUCGCCCCGCUCCGCUCGGAGGCAGCGCUUGGGGCGAGCAUCCCGGCGGGCUCGUCAAUCCGUGGCGGCCAGGGGUUACGGAGAGGAAUUACGAAGUAGCUCCAGGCUCCGGGAGCCCUACUGCUGCAUCGGUCUCUGCGCUCGAGCUGCGGCGAGCUCCGCCGGCAUCGUUUACUUUCUGCUGCAGAGAGAGGAAUAAAACACAGAUCAUCUCCAUCUUCAAGGCAGCGCCUUCAUCGCGGGCGAGGAACAGCAGCCAAAGCAGCCCCGGCAGCAUCCGGCGGGGGAGCGGGAGAGAGCCUCCCGGAACGCCGCCCCAUGCGCCCGCUCCGCCGGGCACCGGCGCCCCUCGGGCGGAGGAAAGGACCCCCCCGGCGGGGCCGCCGGGAGGGAAUUUAAAAACAACAGCAAAAAAGGGGGGAAAAAAUAAAAUAAAAAGGAGGGGGAGAAGAGAGCGAGGGAAGGAAGCAGGGAGAGCUGGAAAGCGGAGCGCUGCUUCCCUCUUUCCCUUGCCAGGUUGCUCGAGGAUGUCCAGGAAAACGAUGCCCAGGGCACGCGAGAGGCCGGUCCGAAGGGGCAGAGCAGAAGCAGGAGCCGGGCCGGCCCAGCGCCGUUCCCAGAAAGGGGAUUCCUUUGUUCAGCAGGAACCGCCGGAGUCCCGGGCUGCCCCGAGUGCUGCCAACUGGGGCCAACUUGGGAGAGCCUCACCCGCCCUCCUCCUCCCGAAGAGGCUCUGGCCGCAGCCCCAGGAGCGAACGGGGGAAAGAGGAGGUGGAGGGAAAAAAGGAGGGGGAGCAAAGAGGGGGGGCUAGGAGCCAGCUGCUGAAAGAGGGAGGGAGGGAUAGGUAUUGUCUUCUCCAAAUCUUGUCUUCUAAGGAGGGAAUUGUUGUAAUUAAUCAGAUCCAGGAGGGGUUGGUUGUUGGGUUGUUUUUUUUUCCCGUUUUUUUUUUCUCCUCUUUUUUUUUUUUUUUUUUUUUAAUUUUAUUUUUUUAAAGCUUCUCCCAAUUGCUCUCCCAGCUGUACGGCAUCACCCCAGCCAGCCUGAAGGGAGCAGCAGGCGAGGAGCAGCCCCACCGCGCACACCGCGGCUCAGCUCGGCUUUCCCCGCCGCCUCUUUCUCCCUUCCAAACUUUCCCCGAUGUUGCGCGCUGGGCUCUGCCGGGUGCUUCUCCUCCGCGCACCGCGCAGUCGAUUUGCAGCUGCAGAGGUCUCCGAGCCGCUCCCCUCGACGGCUGCCGCGGGGGUUGCAGCUGAAAGGGAACCGCCGAGGAGGGUCACGGAGGCGGAGGAAGUUGAUUUGCUCCCGCCAGGCGCCGGUGAAGCGCUCGCACAAAGUUGCCCGGAGCAGCUCCGGGCGCUCCUCUGCGCUCCGCCGACCCCGACGGUGCGUCCGGGGGCGGCGCGCCCCGUGCUCCGCUCACCCCUCCCUGCCCGCUGGCUCUGCCGAACGUGCCGUCUUUUCCUUCCCUUCGGCUUUCCAGGUUUUCCCCCUCCCCUCUUCACCAUUUCAUUCCCCUACGGUUAUGGAGAAGAG